AGGACGGCCAGGGCCAGGGCCAGAGCGAUGGAGGCAUCCACCUGGCAGAAGGCAAACUCUGCAGAGACAGGAGAAAGGAUGAGCUAGCUAAUGCUUUUGGCAACCAUCAUGGAUAAAGAGGUGACCUUGAGGAUGGAAGCCACAUGCCAGGAGAGUGAAGCAGAAAGACAGAAGAAACAUGGGGCCUGGGGCCUGCCAAUUAGCCUGGACUCCCUCAUAUGGAAUGGACUGCAGUCACUUGAGAGAGAGAAAAACUUCCAUUGUGUUUAAACCUCUGUUUGGCUUUUCUGUUACAUGUAGACAUCAGGAUUACCAAAAGACAUGCCAGAUUUUGCCUUUCUUUAAAAAGAAAACUCCAUCUAAGUUUGUCUUUUUUCCCCUUAGUUAUUUGAGAGCGUUAAUUUCUAUUUCAUUUAUAUUAGUAGUUACUAUAAAAUGCCUAACAAACAUA